CUCCGACGAAUUCUCCAGUCUCGUCUUCAUCUGGUUCGAGCACUGGUAUGUUGCAGAGACAAAGUUUCUCUCUAGACUGAGUUCAUCAUUCUCUGUGAGCCAUCCUUCAACCCGCAUCAGUCAUCUUGUUAUCCUCACGGUUACUCUGCUGUAAUCAAAUCCAAUAGCCUAUCAGUCUCUUCAUCUGUCUCUUAAAGUCUUCACCUUUUGAGGGUUUGUUGAGUCUGAUUUCCAGAAACUUUCUUGUUGAUUUCGCCUGCUUGGGAGCUUCUUCGUCACCAGAUGAAACAGAUCUGAACUUUGAGAUUAUAGAAGUAUGGCGAGCUCAGAGGUGUCUAAGAAAGGAAAUCGUGGAGGAGAAAACUUCCAUUGCCUUCCCUGAAAUCGUGAACAACAUGUUGGGUCGACAAGUAUCACUCAAAAUCUCAAUAUACCGGUAGAGAAGUUUUUGUCUUGUAGGUUGCAGUUUACAAGUUAAAUGAUAGAUAGAUCCCAUGGGUAAGAGCCUGCUGAUCUCGAGAUUAGUUUGUUUUCUGAAAAGAUCUCAGGCAGAACUCUCAUUUCAAAAAGAGAAGUUCAGGUUGGUGAAUCUCGCCUUGUCAAGCCGGAAGAAGAGAGAGCGGUGACACGGUGAAGCCGGAAGUGGAGACAACGGUGAGGCUACGGCUGAGGCGGUGAAGCCGAAGGAGUACAGACAGAAGUUGGGCUAGUAUCAUUUUCUGGUUUGACUGUUUGGUCUCUGAAGUUAUAUCAUUCAUAAGAGUGAUUAAGACGUGUUUUUGGAUUAUGAAAAAGGGAAUUGUAAUUGAUUAUGUAAAGAACUGUAGUUGUUAUAUUUGAGCUCAGUUCAUGGAA